rnacentral:rRNA from 1 species
UACGUAGGGGGCGAGCGUUGUCCGGAGUUACUGGGCGUAAAGGGCAUGCAGGCGGUCCGACACGUUUUGUGUGACAGCGGGUGGCUUAACUACCCGAGGAUACGAAAGACGGUAGGACUUGAGGACUCGAGAGGGACACGGAAUUCCGGGUGGAGUGGUGAAAUGCGUAGAGAUCCGGAGGAACACCGAAGGCGAAGGCAGUGUCCUGGCGAGUGACUGACGCUGAGGUGCGAAAGCGUGGGGAGCGAACAGG